AAGGCCUUCGGGUUGUAAAGCACUUUUGUCCGGAAAGAAAACCUUUGCACUAAUACUGUGAGGGGAUGACGGUACCGGAAGAAUAAGCACCGGCUAACUACGUGC
rnacentral:rRNA from 1 species